rnacentral:rRNA from 1 species
UACGGGGGGGGCAAGCGUUGUUCGGAAUUACUGGGCGUAAAGGGCUCGUAGGUGGCCAACUAAGUCAGACGUGAAAUCCCUCAGCUUAACUGGGGAACUGCGUCUGAUACUGGAUGGCUUGAGAUUGGGAGAGGGAUGCGGAAUUCCAGGUGUAGCGGUGAAAUGCGUAGAUAUCUGGAGGAACACCGGUGGCGAAGGCGGCAUCCUGGACCAAUACUGACGCUCAGGUGCGAAAGCGUGGGGAGCAAACAGG